GCUUGCUUCUCUGAUGUUAGCGGCGGACGGGUNNNNAACACGUGGAUAACCUACCUAUAAGACUGGGAUAACUUCGGGAAACCGGAGCUAAUACCGGAUAAUAUUUUGAACCGCAUGGUUCAAAAGUGAAAGACGGUCUUGCUGUCACUUAUAGAUGGAUCCGCGCUGCAUUAGCUAGUUGGUAAGGUAACGGCUUACCAAGGCAACGAUGCAUAGCCGACCUGAGAGGGUGAUCGGCCACACUGGAACUGAGACACGGUCCAGACUCCUACGGGAGGCAGCAGUAGGGAAUCUUCCGCAAUGGGCGAAAGCCUGACGGANCAACGCCGCGUGAGUGAUGAAGGUCUUCGGAUCGUAAAACUCUGUUAUUAGGGAAGAACAUAUGUGUAAGUAACUGUGCACAUCUUGACGGUACCUAAUCAGAAAGCCACGGCUAACUACGUGCCAGCAGCCGCGGUAAUACGUANGUGGCAAGCGUUAUCCGGAAUUAUUGNGCGUAAAGCGCGCGUANGCGGUUUUUUAAGUCUGAUGUGAAAGCCCACGGCUCAACCGUGGAGGGUCAUUGGAAACUGGAAAACUUGAGUGCAGAAGAGGAAAGUGGAAUUCCAUGUGUANCGGGUGAAAUGCGCANAGAUAUGGAGGAACACCAGNGGNNAAGNCGACUUUCUGG
rnacentral:rRNA from 1 species